AAUGAACGCUGGCGGCAUGCCUAACACAUGCAAGUCGCACGCGAAAGGGGGCAACCCCGAGUAGAGUGGCGGACGGGUGCGUAAUACGUAGGAAUCUACCUAGUAGUGGGGGACAACCCGGCGAAAGCCGGGCUAAUACCGCAUACGACCUAUGGGUGAAAGCCGGGGACCGCAAGGCCUGGCGCUAUUAGAUGAGCCUGCGUCGGAUUAGCUAGUUGGUGGGGUAAAGGCUCACCAAGGCGACGAUCCGUAGCUGGUCUGAGAGGACGACCAGCCACACUGGGACUGAGACACGGCCCAGACUCCUACGGGAGGCAGCAGUGGGGAAUAUUGGACAAUGGGGGCAACCCUGAUCCAGCAAUGCCGCGUGUGUGAAGAAGGCCUUCGGGUUGUAAAGCACUUUCGGUGGGGACAAACAAGGUGGAGCUAAUAUCUCCGCCUCUGAUGGUACCCAAAGAAGAAGCACCGGCUAACUCUGUGCCAGCAGCCGCCGUAAAAC
rnacentral:rRNA from 1 species